UGCCUCCCCAUGGUAAGCGGGGCUAAGCAGCCCACAGCAGCCGCUGCUCCACAGCCCUCGCCACCCGGGACCCUGCGGCCACCAUUUUCUCUCCGGACUGAACAUGGAUUUUGAGCUCCUUGAGGGAAGGAUGAUGCAUGUCUUGCUCAAGCUGUACUUUUCCAAUCAUUUAAUCCGGAGGCUCACAUUAAAAUAUCUGCAGUCCCAACUCUGUUGCACAUUUGAAAGUAAAGAGCUUAAAUGAAUAUCCAGAUCACUGCACCUGGCUAGGAAUAUCCAAAAGCCAAUGAAAACCCUGAAUAAUUUUGUUUACUGAGAUAUUCAAUAAAAUAUCCC